GAUGAACGCUGGCGGCAGGCCUAAUACAUGCAAGUCGAACGGUGUCUUCGGACAUAGUGGCGCACGGGUGCGUAACACGUAUGCAACCUACCUUACAUUGGGGGAUAGCCUUUCGAAAGGGAGAUUAAUACCGCAUAAGACAGUAGCUGGGCAUCCAGCAGCUGUUAAAGAUUUAUCGAUGUAAGCUGGGCAUGCGUCCAAUUAGCUAGUUGGUGAGGUAACGGCUCACCAAGGCAAUGAUUGGUAGGGGAACUGAGAGGUCAAUCCCCCACACUGGCACUGAGAUACGGGCCAGACUCCUACGGGAGGCAGCAGUAGGGAAUAUUGGGCAAUGGACGCAAGUCUGACCCAGCCAUGCCGCGUGCAGGAUGAAGGCGUUAUGCGUUGUAAACUGCUUUUAUACAGGAAGAAACGACUCUUGCGAGAGGCAUUGACGGUACUGUAUGAAUAAGCACCGGCUAACUCCGUGCCAGCAGCCGCUGUAAUAC
rnacentral:rRNA from 1 species